rnacentral:rRNA from 1 species
AGUGAACGCUGGCGGUAGGCCUAACACAUGCAAGUCGAACGGCAGCACAGUAAGAGCUUGCUCUUACGGGUGGCGAGUGGCGGACGGGUGAGGAAUACAUCGGAAUCUACUUUUUCGUGGGGGAUAACGUAGGGAAACUUACGCUAAUACCGCAUACGACCUAUGGGUGAAAGCAGGGGAUCUUCGGACCUUGCGCGAUUGAAUGAGCCGAUGUCGGAUUAGCUAGUUGGCGGGGUAAAGGCCCACCAAGGCGACGAUCCGUAGCUGGUCUGAGAGGAUGAUCAGCCACACUGGAACUGAGACACGGUCCAGACUCCUACGGGAGGCAGCAGUGGGGAAUAUUGGACAAUGGGCGCAAGCCUGAUCCAGCCAUACCGCGUGGGUGAAGAAGGCCUUCGGGUUGUAAAGCCCUUUUGUUGGGAAAGAAAAGCAGCAGGUUAAUACCCCGCUGUCCUGACGGUACCCAAAGAAUAAGCACCGGCUAACUUCGUG